rnacentral:rRNA from 2 species
UAGACCCGAAACCCGGUGAUCUAGCCAUGGGCAGGUUGAAGGUUGGGUAACACUAACUGGAGGACCGAACCGACUAAUGUUGAAAAAUUAGCGGAUGACCUGUGGCUGGGGGUGAAAGGCCAAUCAAACCGGGAGAUAGCUGGUUCUCCCCGAAAGCUAUUUAGGUAGCGCCUCGUGAAUUCAUCUCCGGGGGUAGAGCACUGUUUCGGCUAGGGGGCCAUCCCGGCUUACCAACCCGAUGCAAACUGCGAAUACCGGAGAAUGUUAUCACGGGAGACACACGGCGGGUGCUAACGUCCGUCGUGAAGAGGGAAACAACCCAGACCGCCAGCUAAGGUCCCAAAGUCAUGGUUAAGUGGGAAACGAUGUGGGAAGGCCCAGACAGCCAGGAUGUUGGCUUAGAAGCAGCCAUCAUUUAAAGAAAGCGUAAUAGCUCACUGGUCGAGUCGGCCUGCGCGGAAGAUGUAACGGGGCUAAACCAUGCACCGAAGCUGCGGCAGCGAACGUAUCACCCAAGACAACUUUACGGAGUUGACGAUUGACGGAGCGAAGCGACGUCAAAGCGUUCAUUAAAGUCGAGUUGGCUUAGGGAUACGUUCGUUGGGUAGGGGAGCGUUCUGUAAGCCUGUGAAGGUGUGUCGUGAGGCAUGCUGGAGGUAUCAGAAGUGCGAAUGCUGACAUAAGUAACGAUAAAGCGGGUGAAAAGCCCGCUCGCCGGAAGACCAAGGGUUCCUGUCCAACGUUAAUCGGGGCAGGGUGAGUCGACCCCUAAGGCGAGGCCGAAAGGCGUAGUCGAUGGGAAACGGGUUAAUAUUCCCGUACUUGGUGUUACUGCGAAGGGGGGACGGAGAAGGCUAUGUUGGCCGGGCGACGGUUGUCCCGGUUUAAGCGUGUAGGUGUGUGUUCCAGGUAAAUCCGGUU